UAUUAUGAGAGUUUGAUCCUGGCUCAGGACGAACGCUGGCGGCGUGCCUAAUACAUGCAAGUCGAACGC
rnacentral:rRNA from 1 species